rnacentral:rRNA from 1 species
GACGAACGCUGGCGGCGUGCUUAACACAUGCAAGUCGAACGAAGAGCGACGGAAGCUUGCUUCUAUCAAUCUUAGUGGCGAACGGGUGAGUAACGCGUAAUCAACCUGCCCUUCAGAGGGGGACAACAGUUGGAAACGACUGCUAAUACCGCAUACGAUCUAACCUCGGCAUCGAGGAUAGAUGAAAGGUGGCCUCUACAUGUAAGCUAUCACUGAAGGAGGGGAUUGCGUCUGAUUAGCUAGUUGGAGGGGUAACGGCCCACCAAGGCGAUGAUCAGUAGCCGGUCUGAGAGGAUGAACGGCCACAUUGGGACUGAGACACGGCGCAGACUCCUACGGGAGGCAGCAGUGGGGAAUCUUCCGCAAUGGACGAAAGUCUGACGGAGCAACGCCGCGUGAGUGAUGACGGCCUUCGGGUUGUAAAGCUCUGUUAAUCGGGACGAAAGGCCUUCUUGCGAAUAGUGAGAAGGAUUGACGGUACCGGAAUAGAAAGCCACGGCUAACUACGUG